rnacentral:rRNA from 1 species
GACGAACGCUGGCGGCGUGCUUAACACAUGCAAGUCGAACGAAGUGGCGAACGGGUGAGUAACGCGUAAUCAACCUGCCCUUCAGAGGGGGACAACAGUUGGAAACGACUGCUAAUACCGCAUACUGAAGGAGGGGAUUGCGUCGGAUUAGCUAGUUGGAGGGGUAACGGCCCACCAAGGCGAUGAUCAGUAGCCGGUCUGAGAGGGAGAACGGCCACCUUGGGACUGGGAAACGGCCCAGAAUCCUACGGGAGGGAGGAGUGGGGAAUCUUCCGCAAUGGAAGAAAGUCUGGCGAAGCAACGCCGCGUGAGGGAUGACAGCCUUCGGGUUGGAAAGCUCUGUUAAUCGGGACGCGGUACCGGAAUAGAAAGCCACGGCUAACUACGUGCCAGCCGCCGCGGUAAUAC